AGCUGAAAUUCUAAUUAAACUACUCCUUGA
rnacentral:tRNA from 1 species